rnacentral:misc_RNA from 1 species
GGUUCGAUCAUGGCUCAGAUUGAACGCUGGCGGGAUGCUUUACACAUGCAAGUCGAACGGCAGCACGGACUUCGGUCUGUGGCGAGUGGCGAACGGGUGGAGUAAUGUAUCGGAACGUGCCUAGUAGCGGGGGAUAACUACGCGAGCGUAGCUAAUAUCGCAGGCCGGGCCCUUCGGGGGAAAGCGGGGGACCUUCGGGCCUCGCACUAUUAGAGCGGCCGAUAUCGGAUUAGCUAGUUGGUGGGGUAACGGCUCACCAAGGCGACGAUCCGUAGCUGGUUUGAGAGGACGACUGGCCACACUGGGAUCAGACACGCCCAGACUCCUACGGGGAGGCAGCAGUGGGACUUUGACAAUGGGGAAACCCUGAUCCAGCCAUCCCGCGUGUGCGAUGAAGGCCUUCGGGUUGUAAAGCACUUCUUGGCAGGAAAGAAACGCGGCACGUGGGAUAAUACCCCGUGCAACUGACGGUACCUGCAGAAUAAGCACCGGCUAACUACGUGCCAGCAGCCGCGGUAAUACGUAGUGCAAGCGUUAAUCGGA